rnacentral:rRNA from 1 species
AUACGGAGGGGGCAAGCGUUGUUCGGAAUUAUUGGGCGUAAAGCGCACGUAGGCGGCGCACGCAGUCAGAGGUUAAAGGCCUGGGCUCAACCCAGGAACUGCCUUUGAUACUGGUGUGCUAGAGUCCGGGAGAGGGUAGCGGAAUUCCCAGUGUAGAGGUGAAAUUCGCAGAUAUUGGGAAGAACACCGGUUGCGAAGGCGGCUACCUGGACCGGUACUGACGCUGAGGUGCGAAAGCGUGGGGAGCAAACAGGAUUAGAAACCCCGGUAGUCC